CUCGCCGUCGUAACGUCGAUGGACGCAGGCCACUUCCGGCGUAGCCAUGGCGGCUAACGCGACCACUAACCCGUCGCAGCUGCUGCCUCUAGAGCUUGUGGACAAGUGUAUAGGAUCAAGAAUUCACAUUGUGAUGAAGAGUGAUAAGGAAAUUGUUGGCACGCUUCUAGGAUUUGAUGACUUUGUCAAUAUGGUACUGGAAGAUGUCACUGAGUUUGAAAUCACACCAGAAGGAAGAAGGAUUACUAAAUUAGAUCAGAUUUUGCUAAAUGGCAAUAAUAUAACAAUGCUGGUUCCUGGAGGAGAAGGCCCUGAAGUAUGAAUGGAUUUCCUUGACUUAUGCUGGAUUCUGUUUUGUCUUAUAAGGACAACAAAAUAGAAAAUUUUUUUUUAACCUUUUAAUGUUUGGAUUCUAUGAAGCUAAGUUUCCCGUUAAAGGGAAAUGCUUUGAAGAUGCAUUGUAAAUGCCCAUUUUUUAAGUUAAUCAUGAUUGUCUUGGAGAAAGAAGAACAGUUCGUUCUUUGAAGACUAAAAUAAAGGUGUUUUUGGUUAACUGUCAAUUUGUUUAUUAUACUGCAAUAUCCAGUGGAACAAAGCUUGUAGUUAUUUUGUCGCUUGCUUUCCUGUCAUUUUACUCCUAUUUGCUUCCUGAUUUACUUCAUCAUUCGAUUCUCAAACAACAAUUGUUCCAAACAAAAUGAUGAACUUUGCUUUUGAACAGGUGCAUUUAAAAAACCUGUAAUGAUUACUUAGAAAAUUCAGUUCAAACUCUGAUGCUUUGAAAUGAGGACUUUUCCACUGAACUCAAGUCCCAUUAACGCUUAUUAAAAACAAACAAGAAAAAUACCCAGGUAAUGUAUACACAUUAUAGAAGUGAAGAUAAGUCAAAAGGAAAAUAUUCAUCACACUCUGCUGUAUAUCCUUUUAGACUUUCUCAGUACAGUCUUGGUACACAUUUUACUUUUACAAAACUUACUCAUCCCGAAUAUACUGUUUUGUAGCCUCCAUUUAAGACUUUUUGAAUUUGAAUGGUGAACAUCUUUCCAUGUCAAAUAUUUCAGCAACAUUAAUACAGGCAUAGUAUUCCAUUAAGUGGAUUUAUAAUAACUUAUUUAGCUUAUUCUUAUGGGUCACUAAGUCCAACUAAGUCUAUACAUUUUUAUUUUUCUUAGAAUAAGUUCAUAAAUGUGUCAGGUCAAUUCUAUUGUCAUGUUGCCAACAAAAAAUUUGUACCAACCUACACUUCGUUGUUGUUGUUGAGGAAGAUUGGCCCUGAGCUAACAACUGUUGCCAGUCUUCCUCUAUUUUGUAUGUGGGAUGCUGCCACAGCAUGGCUUGAUGAACGGUGUUUAGGUCCAUGCCCGGGAUCCAAACCCAUGAACGCCGGGCCACCAAAGUGGAGUGUGCAAACUUAAGCACUGUGUCACCGGGUUGGCCCCUCAACCUACACUUGCUGGCAGUUUUUCAUAGUACCAUUUACAUGCUUACCAACAUUGGCUAUAUUCUCUCUUCUCCUGUCUUUGCCAUUGUGAUAGGCAAAACCUCACAUGUUAGAAAUUUUCUUUAUUAAUUUUGAACUCAUUUAUAUUUUGUGAAUUAGUUGUGUGAGGCUUUUGCCAUUGAGACGUUUGUGUUUUCCUUACUGAUUUGUUAGAAUUCUUAGUAGGUUACUCUUGAAUUUUGCAGAUAACUCCCCUAGUAUGUAGUUUGCCUGUCAGUGGUACUUUUUUUCACAUAAAUAAUGUAUUUUUGUGUAGUCAUUGGUUGGUCUCCUCUUUUAUGGUUUUUGUCUAUGGUACACAGGUGGUGGAUCAGGAAGACUGUCUUUGCUCUGAUUAUAUGUAUUUUUGGUACUAUAUAUUUUGUUUCAUAUAAAUCUUGAAUCCGUCUUCAAUUUUCGUGUUUCCACGUGAAAAAAGGGCUCAACUUUAUUUUCCAAAAAACAAAGCACUGAUGUAUGGUCUUUUUUGACUUUCAUGGUGUAAGUACUCCUUCUGUGGCUGGUUUCAUGCUGCCAAGGGUAUAACAGCUGGCCUGCAGACUUCCUAAAGAGUGAAGAGUUGGUUCUCAGGAGCCAGUAGGAGCCUGUUACUCCAGCCACUGCCUCUGACCCUUGUUGGGGUGGCAGGGGAAUGCUUUCCCUCCUCUUGUUUCUUUCCCUUUGGAGGGAGGUUAAAUGAUGUAAUGAUACUACACUUUUUCUACCCUUUUACUCAUCCUCUGGGAGCUGGGUAGUCAUGCUCAGCUCUUACUGUUUUUCCAUCUAGGAGUUAGUAGCCUGCAGGGAGCACAUGUUAAUUCCAGCAUGCUAUGAGUUUUAGAGGAGCCUGACCUCACUUAGGGAGGCGUACAGUUACCUAGUCUGUGGCUGGGUGGAUGAGUUCACUCUGGGGUUCAGUAAGAGGAAGUUCACUUGCCUACAGAUAAGCUGUCUCUUAAUCUGGUCUUUAGCAGUAAUAAAGAUGAUGAUAUGACUCUCAUUUGCUUACACUCUUGCCUUCUAUCACAAUUCGUUUAGAUUGGGUACUAUUCUAAAUAAGGGUUUCUUAACCUUGGCACUAUUGACAUUUUUGUCUGGAUAAUUCUUAGUUGUGUGGUCCCUCCUGUGCAUUGUAGAAUGUUUAGCAGCAUCUCUGGCCUCUACCCACAAGACGCCAGUGGCAUCCUUCCUUUUCUUCCCUGCUUCCCCCAGAUAUUGCCAAAUGUCCCUUGAAGGCAAAACAAUCACCUGUGGUUGAGAACAACUGUUCUAAAUAAUAGGGAUGCUAUUUACUGGACCCUCCAAAAUCUAAUAUUUGGUGUAUGGGCGAGGAGCAUUGGAUCUAGACCAUGAGUAAAAAUUAGGGAGAAAAUGCUGCGAUUGAGGAUUCCAGCAGGGUAAUAUGGUUGGUUUAAAGUUGAAAUGAUGUAUUUGGUGCUAACCAUAUAGGGUUUUCACUUUGGCAGGUUGCUGGUGAGUGUCUCUUUAUAGAGGUGGUGUUUCAUUUCCAUAGAGGUAGGGCUGUAUGUGCUGGGCCCUAAAGCGAAAGUGUGGCCUCCGGAAAAGUGAGACCAGAAAAGGCGGAAGCUAUGCUGGCAUUGGUGACUUGAUCAGUUUUUCUCAAACUUUGGUUUGAAAACUGGUAUCAGAAUCACUUGGAGAGCUACUAAAGAAUGCAGAGGCCCAGGCCCACUGAAGUAGGAUAGGGCCUCCGGCCUUUGUAUUUUUAGCAACUUGCCCAGUUCCCCAGGUAAUUCUGUUCCUUACCAAAGCCCUAGACCCACCACACUGGAGUGUAGGCUACUGCAGGUGUAGCUUUUUAAAGCAGGUAUGACUGAAGCAAGGAUUUGAUAAUAGACAUGUGAAUCUCUGUAUAGAUAUUUUAUACAUUAGUGGAUGGAACUGUAUUUGCCACAUUUAAACUGCAAGGCAGCUAAGUUCUGUGUGUGCUGUAGAGCACUAGUGGAGUUCUAGUUUGAAUUGUUAGUGCCAGGCCUUGGCAGGCAGUGAUGCAUCUCCUGCCCCAAGAGCCAGCCUUCGGUGUGGAACAACGAGGGACCCGUUGUGGGGCAACGUUGGAUUCACAUGGCUUGUCCUUAGGCUUGAGAGUCACUUCCCAUCAGUGCAGUCUCAGUUUUGUUCUCGAGGGUUGAUUUGUUGAUUAUACAAAGUGUAGUCGUGUCUUUAGAUUUCAGGGUCCAAAAUUGCACCUUCACCCCUAGAGAUGAGGUGGGAUUUUGCCAGUAGAGAAAAAAAUGUGAGCCCUUAUUGUAGAGAGAAUAUGCCAUCUUCUAGAAUUGAAGGUGAGAAAAAUUUCAGUGAAAUUAUUGUAAACCAAGGGAGGAAGGCCUGUGCUCGGGGCAUUUUAUUUUUCAAGUUUUAUUUUGUAGCGGUUUCACAUUUAAUGAAGAAAAGUUGCAAGAAUAUCAGAAAGAGCUCUUACAUACCCUCACAGAGACCCCACUCAAGUUUUUUGCCCCAGCAAUGUCCACAGCGAAAGGAUCCAGUCCUGGGUCAUGCGCUGUACUCAGUUGUCAUGUGUUUCUAGUCUCCUUCAAUCUGGAAGAGUUCUUCAGUCUUCCCUUGACCUUCAUGACCCCAGAAUUUCUGAAGAUUGCAGACUAGCCAUUGUAGAGUGUCCUUCAAUUUGGGUUUGCUUGAUGUUUCCCCGUGAGUAGGCCCCAGGUUUAUCGCAGGAGUAAAGCUAUUCUUCCCAAUGAGUCUCAUCGGGUGGCACAUAAUAUCGACGAGUUCCAUUUCUGAUGGUGUUAACUUUGAGCUUUGAUGGGUGAUGUUCAGCAGCAGUUUCUGUUCAGGAGUCUGCUGGUGUGAUUGUUCAGUUGAAACAAAUGUAGAAAGGGGAGAAGUCUUACCCAGGAAAGAGAUUGCCAGAGUUAAGCCACUUCAUCAGCAACAAAAGCAGAAACCAUGCAGCAGGACUAGACUAAUAUUCCUGUUGUUGAGUGAGGCCGUGUCACUGGACAAAGCCCACCUUAAUGCAGCACUAAGGUACCCAAAACUCAAACUCAUUUCCAAGGGUACAUAGAAAUUGGGAGGUUUAAAAUAUGUUGGAUGAGGAAGACAGGCUGUCUCAAAUAAGACCUGGUCUGUACCUGUGCAAAUUUCUCAACUCUGCAAGAAAAGCAAUGUUAUUGCGUAUGCCAGUUGCUGAGAAAGAGAGGAGACUGUUUUCAUAGAUGGAAUUUCCCCCAGAUGUGGGCAACAUAGUGCCAUAAUUAGCCUCUUAAGGUAACUAACCAACUGAAUUAAAUAAGCAAUCCAGUUGAAGUUCUAAAGUCAUGGUCUCUGCCAUCGUCCUGAGCACUGCUAAGUUUUAUGUUAUAAGGGUAUAAUUUUACCUAGGAGAACCUUUUUAGGAGCUGUUGGGUGCACAACUGCAUGAAUAUGCUGAACACCACUGAACUGUAUGUUUUAAAACAGUGGAUUUUAUGGUACAUGAAUUAUAUCUCAACUUUUAAAAAAGCAAGACCUACUUGAAUCAUAUCUAAUGUAACUUCUAAGGCUUUAAAAGAAAUACUGGCUGUGGCUGUUGAAAGGACCCUGCCCUCACCCAAGCGUCAAAGCCCCCUCUGGUUAAGAUUGAACACAAGAAUUUGGGGAAGGUUGUUUUUGAUCUGGACUUUGGUCUUUUAACUCACAAAGACACGGAACUUUAGUUUUGGAUUUUAAUUGUAGUGGUCUUUAACAUUUUGGAUUUUUAUUUGCAAGAUUUAAUUUGUGAACCUUGAUUUCUCUCUGUAAAUUUAAUUAUGGGAGGGGAUGGUAUUUAAAUUUGGGUGUCUCUAAGUUGUUGGCGUUUUAUUGUCUAAACUUCUUUUGGCUUUGUUGACUUCUACUCAGACUUUAAGAGUAGGUUCUACCACUUCUCAAUGCUUCUGCAUGACAGAUCAUGGAGACCUCAGGGUGCUUUUCCAUAAUACUGUCUUGAAUAGCUGCUCCCUUCUAAAGAGAAUAGCCCCAAACAGUUCAUGCUGUGCAAAGUUCUGGUUUCCAGGGAAACAAAUCCUGUUACACUGUUGGACCAGAAACUAGAGUCUGGGCCGUCACUACCACCACGAGCGCCACCAUCAUCUGAAUAGCUUUUAUUUUUUAAUUCUAUAAACUGAUGUUAGGGAUAUUCAAGGAUCUGGUUCUUGAGUUUUUGUGAACAUGUGUUUUAUUAUCAAUGAAUUAAUGAUUUAAUCAAUACAAAUGUAGAAACAAAUGAAGAAAAAGACACUCAAAUACAGACCAAUGGUGAAGACUCGUGACAUAGGAGUCAUGGAUGAUGAAAGUACAUGUCUGAAACUCUGAGGUCCAGCAUGAAGUAUUAGUCUUAGUAUUAGCAAGGAAUUAAUCUAUUCCUUCUAUUGAAACUUUCUACAGAGAGACGCUAGGAGUAUUCAAAGAUCAUAUUCUUGUAUUGAUUUUAUAAAUAUAGAUUUGUUAUGAAUUGAAUAAUGAUAGAAC
rnacentral:lncRNA from 1 species